AACGGUCUAUACCUGCGGUACCUGCGGAAGGAUCAUUAAAGAGAAAACUGCCCUUUGGGUAGAUCUCCCACCCUUUGUUUACCUUACCUUUGUUGCUUUGGCAGGCCCGUCUUCUGACCACCGGCUUUAGCUGGUCCGUGCCUGCCAGAGGACCCCAAACUCUUAAUUUUAAGUUGUCCGAGUCUUAUAAAAUAGUAAAAACUUUUAACAACGGAUCUCU
rnacentral:misc_RNA from 1 species